GGGGUGACUAGUGACAGAGUUAGGGAGGGAGUGACUAGUGACAGAGUUAGGGAGGGAGUGACUAGUGACAGAGAGAGGGAUGGGGUGACUAGUGACAGUCACCCCCUCUCUCACUCUGUCACUAGUCACCCCCUCUCUCACUCUUUCACCAGUCAUCCCUUCCUUCCCUCACUCUGCCACUAAUCAUCCCUUCCCUCACUCUGUCACCAGUCACCCC